CAGCCGCCGCGGGAAUACGUAGGUGGCAAGCGUUAUCCGGAAUUAUUGGGCGUAAAGCGCGCGUAGGCGGUUUUUUAAGUCUGAUGUGAAAGCCCACGGCUCAACCGUGGAGGGUCAUUGGAAACUGGAAAACUUGAGUGCAGAAGAGGAAAGUGGAAUUCCAUGUGUAGCGGUGAAAUGCGCAGAGAUAUGGAGGAACACCAGUGGCGAAGGCGGCUUUCUGGUCUGCAACUGACGCUGAUGUGCGAAAGCGUGGGGAUCAAACAGGAUUAGAUACCCCCGUAGUCCCUGUCUCUUAUAC
rnacentral:rRNA from 1 species